rnacentral:miRNA from 14 species
GGCACUUGCCAAGCUCUGAGCUGUACUGCAUGCUCUGUGUUGAAGGGUCGCAUCUGGGACAGUGGCAGGAGCAG